rnacentral:rRNA from 1 species
UACGGAGGGUGCAAGCGUUAAUCGGAAUUACUGGGCGUAAAGCGCAUGCAGGCGGUUUGUUAAGCAAGAUGUGAAAGCCCUGGGCUUAACCUGGGAGUUGCAUUUUGAACUGGCAAGCUAGAGUCUUGUAGAGGGGGGUAGAAUUUCAGGUGUAGCGGUGAAAUGCGUAGAGAUCUGAAGGAAUACCGGUGGCGAAGGCGGCCCCCUGGACAAAGACUGACGCUCAGAUGCGAAAGCGUGGGGAGCAAACAGGAUUAGAUACCCCAGUAGUCCUUGACUAGUGUGCCAGCCGCCGCGGUA